rnacentral:rRNA from 1 species
UACGAGGGGUCCUAGCGUUGCUCGGAAUCAUUGGGCGUAAAGCGGGUGUAGGUGGCUUAGUAAGUCAGGAGUGAAAGCCCUGGGCUCAACCCGGGAAGUGCUCUUGAAACUGCUUCGCUUGAGUGUAGGAGAGGGCAGUAGAAUUCCAGGUGUAGUGGUGAAAUACGUAGAUAUCAGGAGGAACACCGGUGGCGAAGGCGGGUCUCUGGGCCGAUACUGACGCUGAGGAGCGAAAGCGUGGGGAGCGAACAGG